rnacentral:rRNA from 1 species
UACGUAGGGUGCGAGCGUUAAUCGGAAUUACUGGGCGUAAAGCGUGCGCAGGCGGUUCUCCAAGUCCGUUGUGAAAGCCCCGGGCUCAACCUGGGAAUGGCAGUGGAAACUAGGGGACUGGAAUCUGGCAGAGGGGGGUGGAAUGCCGCGUGUAGCAGUGAAAUGCGCAGAUAUCAUGAGGAAUACCAGAGGCGAAGGCGGCUACCUGGACAAUUGCUGACGCUCAGGCACGAAAGCGUGGGGAGCAAAAGGG